rnacentral:rRNA from 1 species
UACGUAGGGGGCAAGCGUUGUCCGGAUUUAUUGGGCGUAAAGAGCGUGUAGGCGGCCUGGAAGGUCAGCUGUGAAAACUCGAGGCUCAACCUCGAGACGUCGGUUGAAACCACCUGGCUAGAGUCCGGAAGAGGAGAAUGGAAUUCCCGGUGUAGCGGUGAAAUGCGCAGAUAUCGGGAAGAACACCCGUGGCGAAGGCGGUUCUCUGGGACGGUACUGACGCUGAGGCGCGAAAGCGUGGGGAGCGAACAGG